rnacentral:rRNA from 1 species
GAUGAACGCUGGCGGCGUGCCUAAUACAUGCAAGUCGAGCGAACAGACGAGGAGCUUGCUCCUCUGACGUUAGCGGCGGACGGGUGAGUAACACGUGGAUAACCUACCUAUAAGACUGGGAUAACUUCGGGAAACCGGAGCUAAUACCGGAUAAUAUAUUGAACCGCAUGGUUCAAUAGUGAAAGACGGUUUUGCUGUCACUUAUAGAUGGAUCCGCGCCGCAUUAGCUAGUUGGUAAGGGAACGGCUUACCAAGGCGACGAUGCGUAGCCGACCUGAGAGGGUGAUCCGCCACACUGAAACUGAGACACGGUCCAGACUCCUACGGGAGGCAGCAGUGGGGAAUCUUCCGCAAUGGGCGAAGGCCUGACGGAGCAACGCCGCGUGAGUGAUGAGGGUCUUCGGAUCGUAAAACUCUGUUAUUAGGGAAGAACAAAUGUGUAAGUAACUAUGCACGUCUUGACGGUACCUAAUCAGAAAGCCACGGCUAACUACGUG